rnacentral:rRNA from 1 species
CGGCUCAGUAACACGUGGAUAACCUACCCUUGAGACGGGGAUAAACCCGGGAAACUGGGUAUAAUACCCGAUAGAUCUCGACUGCUGGAAUGCAUCGAGCUUGAAAGCUCCGGCGCUCAAGGAUGGGUCUGCGGCCUAUCAGGUAGUAGUGGGUGUAGCGUACCUACUAGCCUACGACGGGUACGGGUUGUGAGAGCAAGAGCCCGGAGAUGGAUUCUGAGACACGAAUCCAGGCCCUACGGGGUGCAGCAGGCGCGAAAAACUUUACAAUGCUGGAAACAGCGAUAAGGGGACCUCGAGUGCCAGGUUACAAAUCUGGCUGUCGUGAUGCCUAAAAAGCAUUGCAUAGCAAGGGCCGGGCAAGACCGGUGCCAGCCGCCGCGGUAACACCGGCGGCUCGAGUGGUAACCGUUAUUAUUGGGUCUAAAGGGUCUGUAGCCGGCCGGAUAAGUCUCUUGGGAAAUCUGGCAGCUUAACUGUCAGGCUUUCAGGAGAUACUGUCUGGCUCGAGGCCGGGAGAGGUGAGAGGUACUUCAGGGGUAGGGGUGAAAUCUUGUAAUCCUUGAAGGACCACCAGUGGCGAAGGCGUCUCA